rnacentral:piRNA from 1 species
UCUCUGGUCUUGAAUCAAGGG